rnacentral:lncRNA from 1 species
GAUAUAUUCAGCUUAAGAUUUCUGCCUUCAGGACAAGCAGACUUGGACAGCCCAUUGUGACACAGAGGCCCACUGGAGGUUCACCGCUGUGUCAGCAACUCUUGUCAGGCCUGGCAUAUUCCGUGCACCCCAACACACAGUAGCAUGACAAAAUGUGGCAUGUAAUAUAGCAUUGGAAAAU